rnacentral:misc_RNA from 1 species
UCAACCCUCAAACCCCGUGUUUGGCGUUGGGCCCACGUCGUGCUUGCGCGCGACCGGCUCCAAAGACAAUGACGGUGUCCGUGGGACCCUCGGUGCAACGAGCUUUUUCCAAAGCACGCGUCGAAGCGGAUCUGCGGGGGCCGGUCUCUGAUUUUAUAUCACUUCUCA